CUCCCAGACUCCUACGGGAGGCAGCAGUGGGGAAUAUUGGGCAAUGGGCGCAAGCCUGACCCAGCAACGCCGCGUGAAGGAAGAAGGCUUUCGGGUUGUAAACUUCUUUUGACAGGGAAGAGUAGAAGACGGUACCUGUCGAAUAAGCCACGGCUAACUACGUGCCAGCAGCCGCGGUAAUACGUAGGUGGCAAGCGUUGUCCGGAUUCACUGGGUGUAAAGGGAGCGUAGACGGCCAAGCAAGCCAGGGGUGAAAGCCCGGGGCCCAACCCCGGGACUGCCCUUGGAACUGCAUGGCUGGAGUGCGGGAGGGGCAGGCGGAAUUCCGUGUGUAGCGGUGAAAUGCGUAGAUAUACGGAGGAACACCAGUGGCGAAGGCGGAUUGCUGGACAGUAACUGACGCUGAGGCGCGAAAGCGUGGGGGGCAAACAGGAUUAGAUACCCGCGUAGAC
rnacentral:rRNA from 1 species